rnacentral:lncRNA from 1 species
UUUUUGUCUGUUUGCAUUCCUGGAGUCGACCUGCAGUCUCGGAGUCGAACUCGGAGUCGACUCGAGCACUGUAGCACUGAAAAUCAACUCUCUAUUUUUUUGUCUGUUUGCAGUCCUGGAGUCGACCUGCAGUCUCGGAGUCGAUCUCGGAGUCGACUCGAGCACUGUAGCACUGAAAAUCAACUCUCUGUUUUUUGUCUGUUCUCAGUCGGAGUCGACUCGUAAAGUUACGGAGUCGACUCGAGCACUGUUCCUUGAAACUCCAGAGUGCCAGAGUCGACUCUGAACUUUCAGGAGUCGACUCGAGGACUAUUCUUUUGAAUCUUUCUUUGAAUUUGCUCCUCCAACUUGAAUCCUUUGAACUUGAAACUUGGGCCAAUAAAGUGUAGCUUUCUUCCAACUUUUCUUGAGAGUUUUUGAGGUCUUCUUGUAUUUUUCCAACUUGCUAUGUUCCUUGCAAAACAAAUUAUAUUUCUUCUUGCAACACAAACAUUAGUAUUUAUACUUCAAGGUUUUGU